rnacentral:rRNA from 1 species
UGGCGAGUGGCGAACGGGUGAGUAAUACAUCGGAACAUGUCCUGUAGUGGGGGAUAGCCCGGCGAAAGCCGGAUUAAUACCGCCUACGAUCUACGGAUGAAAGCGGGGGACUUCGGGCCUCGCGCUAUAGGGUUGGCCGAUGGCUGAUUAGCUAGUUGGUGGGGUAAAGGCCUACCAAGGGACGAUCAGUAGCUGGUCUGAGAGGACGACCAGCCACACUGGGAUGAGACACGGCCCAGACUCCUACGGGAGGCAGCAGUGGGGAAUUUUGGACAAUGGGCGAAAGCCUGAUCCAGCAAUGCCGCGUGUGUGAAGAAGGCCUUCGGGUUGUAAAGCACUUUUGUCCGGAAAGAAAUCCUUGGCUCUAAUACAGCCGGGGGAUGACGGUACCGGAAGAAUAAGCACCGGCUAAAUACGUGCCAGCAGCCGCGGUAAUACGUAGGGUGCCAGCGUUAAUUGGAAUUACUGGGCGUAAAGCGUGCGCNGGCGGUUUGCUAAGACCGAUGUGAAAUCCCCGGGCUCAACCUGGGAANUGCAUUGGUGACUGGCAGGCUAGAGUAUGGCAGAGGGGGGUAGAAUUCCACGUGUAGCAGUGAAAUGCGUAGAGAUGUGGAGGAAUACCGAUGGCGAAGGCAGCCCCCUGGGCCAAUACUGACGCUCAUGCACGAAAGCGUGGGGAGCAAACAGGAUUAGAUACCCUGGUAGUNCACGCCCUNAACGAUGUCAACUAGUUGUUGGGGAUUCAUUUCNUUAGUAANGUAGNUAACGCGUGAAGUUGACCGCNUGGGGAGUACGGUCGCAAGAUUAAAACUCAAAGGAAUUGACGGGGACCCGCACAAGCGGUGGAUGAUGUGGAUUAAUUNGAUGCAACGCGAAAAACCUUACCUACCCNUGACAUGGUNGGAAUCNUGAAGAGAUUCGGGAGUGCUCGAAAGAGAACCGGCGCACAGGU